rnacentral:rRNA from 1 species
CCUACGGGUGGCAGCAGUGGGGAAUAUUGGACAAUGGGGGCAACCCUGAUCCAGCCAUGCCGCAUGUGUGAAGAAGGCCCUCGGGUUGUAAAGCACUUUCAGUGAGGAAGAACGCCUGGUGGUUAAUACCCAUCAGGAAAGACAUCACUCACAGAAGAAGCACCGGCUAACUCCGUGCCAGCAGCCGCGGUAAUACGGAGGGUGCGAGCGUUAAUCGGAAUUACUGGGCGUAAAGCGCGCGUAGGUGGCUUGAUAAGCCGGUUGUGAAAGCCCCGGGCUCAACCUGGGAACGGCAUCCGGAACUGUCAAGCUAGAGUGCAGGAGAGGAAGGUAGAAUUCCCGGUGUAGCGGUGAAAUGCGUAGAGAUCGGGAGGAAUACCAGUGGCGAAGGCGGCCUUCUGGACUGACACUGACACUGAGGUGCGAAAGCGUGGGUAGCAAACAGGAUUAGAUACCCGUGUAGUC